UACGAAGGGGGCUAGCGUUGUUCGGAAUCACUGGGCGUAAAGGGCGCGUAGGCGGCUUUAUAAGUCGGGGGUGAAAGCCUGUGGCUCAACCACAGAAUUGCCUUCGAUACUGUAGAGCUUGAGACCGGAAGAGGUAAGUGGAACUGCGAGUGUAGAGGUGAAAUUCGUAGAUAUUCGCAAGAACACCAGUGGCGAAGGCGGCUUACUGGUCCGGUUCUGACGCUGAGGCGCGAAAGCGUGGGGAGCCGAACAGG
rnacentral:rRNA from 1 species